UACGGAGGGUGCAAACGUUGCUCGGAAUCAUUGGGCGUAAAGCGCGCGUAGGCGCGAGGCAAGUUGGAUGUGAAAUCCCUGGGCUCAACCCAGGAUGUGCAUACAAAACUGCCUCGCUUGAAUCUCGGAGGGGGUCAGGGAAUUCCCCGGUGUAGCAGUGAAAUGCGUAGAGAUCGGGAGGAACACCAGUGGCGAAGGCGACUACCUGGACCAGCACUGACACUGAGGCACGAAAGCGUGGG
rnacentral:rRNA from 1 species